rnacentral:rRNA from 1 species
CCCCCAAACUCUUGUUUUAUACAGUAUCUUCUGAGUAACACGAUUAAAUAAAUCAAAACUUUCAACAACGGAUCUCUUGGUUCUGGCAUCGAUGAAGAACGCAGCGAAAUGCGAUAAGUAAUGUGAAUUGCAGAAUUCAGUGAAUCAUCGAAUCUUUGAACGCACAUUGCGCCCGCCAGUAUUCUGGCGGGCAUGCCUGUUCGAGCGUCAUUUCAACCCUCAAGCCCCCGGGCUUGGUGUUGGGGAUCGGCGUGCCCUCGCGGCGCGCCGUCCCCUAAAUCUAGUGGCGGUCUCGCUGUAGCUUCCUCUGCGUAGUAGCAACACUCGCUCUGGAUCGCAGCGCGGCCACGCCGUUAAACCCCCCACUUCUGAAAGGUUGACCUCGGAUCAGGUAGGAAUACCCGCUGAACUUAAGCAUAUCAAUAAGCGGA